CGUGCCCCAUAACUUCCUGGCCCUUCUUCCACCUUCCUCCGGUUUGGAUGGUCCUGGAGUAUUUAGAAUAAGAAAAAUGGCCCCUCUCUUUCUGAGGGUAGUGCAGGGGUGGGAAAAGUUGUCUGUUCAAGGCCAUGGGUAGUGGCUGCCAAGUAAUAAUGGAGACAUGGCUGCUGGCUGUGGAUAUAAUUUGUGAGGGGGAUCUGCCUAACUAGGUCCAAAUUUAAGACUAACACAGUAUUGUCUUUCUAGCUGCGAAAAGGCACCAAGCACCCCAGCCCUUAUGCUACUCUCACUGUGGGAGAUAGUUCUCAUAAAACCAAGACUAUUUCGCAAACUUCAGCCCCUGUCUGGGAUGAGAGUGCCUCCUUUCUCAUCAGGAAACCACACACUGAGAGCCUAGAGUUGCAGGUUCGGGGUGAGGGCACUGGCGUGCUGGGCUCAUUAUCCCUGCCCCUCUCAGAGCUCCUCGUGGCUGACCAGCUCUGCUUGGACCGCUGGUUUACACUCAGCAGUGGUCAGGGGCAGGUGCUACUGAGAGCACAGCU
rnacentral:sRNA from 1 species